AAGAAGAACUGGCACAGAAGGAGAGAAACACACUAAAUACACGAGGAAGAUUGUAUUUUUUGCGGUGCUAUAUUGUAGUGCAUUACUACUAAGAGGUAAUUAGGGACAGGUGAAAACAAUUAACGCGACGGGGAACAAUCACAAGCGGGAAACACAUGGGCCGGAAGUGUUGCAGCAUGUAGCUAUGGAGAAGGGCGAGACGUGACAAAGGAAACCGGGGCACCAGCGCAGUGGGGCAGUGCCUUGAAAGUGACCCUUAUGUACCUGAGCAUAUGGUGAAAUCACUGGACAAAUGGAUCCCAAUGUUUGGCUGUCUCCCCUCUCACCUACGGACCCCCGCUGGCGGCGAGGGGCAGAGUGGAGAGGACAUCUUCCAAGUUGCAUUUCUGGCGGUCCUAGGCUUCCUGGAGCCAGGGACAGAACUGCGUUCAUGUAGCACACACAGAAAACCAGUGACAGGUAUGUGUCUCAGAGUUCGAGGAAGAAGAGGGAACGUGUUACCCCCAUGGUCAAGCGAAGACUGAUG
ensembl:lncRNA